rnacentral:rRNA from 1 species
CAGGACUUGACAUCCCUCUGACCGGCGUGUAACGGCGCCUUCCCUUCGGGGCAGAGGAGACAGGUGGUGCAUGGUUGUCGUCAGCUCGUGUCGUGAGAUGCUGGGUUAAGUCCCGCAACGAGCGCAACCCUUGUCAUUAGUUGCCAGCAGGUGAAGCUGGGCACUCUAGUGAGACUGCCGGGGACAACUCGGAGGAAGGUGGGGAUGACGUCAAAUCAUCAUGCCCCUUAUGUUCUGGGCUACACACGUGCUACAAUGGCCGGUACAGAGAGACGCAAUGUCGCGAGGCGGAGCAAAACUCUAAAACCGGUCCCAGUUCGGAUUGCAGGCUGAAACUCGCCUGCAUGAAGUCGGAGUUGCUAGUAAUCGCGAAUCAGAAUGUCGCGGUGAAUGCGUUCCC